rnacentral:rRNA from 1 species
UACGGGGGGGGCAAGCGUUGUUCGGAAUUACUGGGCGUAAAGGGCUCGUAGGUGGCCAACUAAGUCAGACGUGAAAUCCCUCGGCUUAACCGGGGAACUGCGUCUGAUACUGGAUGGCUAGACAUUGGGAGAGGGAUGCGGAAUUCCAGGUGUAGCGGUGAAAUGCGUAGAUAUCAGGAGGAACACCGGUGGCGAAGGCGGUUCUCUGGGCAUUACCUGACGCUGAGGAGCGAAAGUGUGGGGAGCGAACAGG